GCUGCAAAUUGCGUAAUUUGGUCAGUUCUAUUAUUCCAUUUAUCAACACGACGGCUGCUUGUAGAUCAUAAAACUGCAUCUCAUUUACCAACAGACUAAUGCAGUGAUAAAUACAUUUAAAACUGAGACUAUCCACAAAGAAACAAGCAACACUUGCGAACAAUUUUGCUGUACGUUCGAGAACCCUAAGCCACUUAUAACCAGUGAAGGUCUUUAUAACAAACGAUCAAGAUAUAUGAAUAAACUCUUCUACUUUGUAAAUGUAAAAGCCAAACAGAAAAAAAAACAAUAAAUCAAAAGCCGCAAGAGUUAUAUUUUGCGCAAGCUUUUUCAUUAGACACCAUUAGAAUUCUAUGAACAGUACAUUAUGCUUAAAACCCUCUAUAGAUAUGAAUAGGCUACAUAUUUACUCUGAUAUCAAAAUUAAUCCACUAAUAUAAAUAUAUACAAAUUAUAAAAAAAUCCAAAAAUCUGAAAUAAGUUCUUAAUAGCUAACUUUUAUAUAGUCAUCCAUAAAUGAAUUUAUUACUGUUUAAAUCUACCUACUAGUACCAAUUGCCACAUACGGUGUAGCUUUCGUUCACAUGACCACUAACAUUACCGUAAAGCAGUUUAGACAUUAAUUGUAUUUUUUAUUAUUAUUUUUAAUAAUUUAUCAUCAUAAUAACUAGAUGCAGUUUGAAGGACAAAACAUUUUUCAUAGAGCGUGGCAUUCCCCCAGUAACAGUGUAAUUUUAAAGCGUGUUAUAUUACAGAAGAUGAGUUUGAGGGUUACUAGUAUUUUGGGGCCUUAAAAUAACACAUACAUCUUAAUGACGUUAAGGUCAAAUGUCCUCUAAAAGGACCGCUGUAUUAAAAAUAUAAAUAAAUAGAUAAAUAAAAAAUAUAAUUCAUGCAAACAAAAACUCUGAUGUUCACUGAUGAAGCAAAAGCCUAUAUGUCUGAUAUUAAUUAACAUAGAUGUUCGCUUGUGAGCCUCGGUGCGGUGUGGUCAAACAAGGUGUCUCCCAUUUCGAUCCUAGGAUUAUAAGUCAAAGCAAAAAAUGUUUAAAGCUCGCCUGUUCAAGUCUACUUUCUGUAGCACCAGGGGCUGUCAGAGCUGAGUCCACUGAAAAAUGUACAGUGCUAAAUCAUAGCAUAUGCUGCCCAAGAGGAAAAUGCAGAAGACUAGAGGUACAACAGUAUAUGGGCGCCCCCUAGCGUAUAGAUUAUUUCUGCCUAAAAUCUCGCUUUAAGGUGGAAGAGCCAUCUUAAAUGGAAACUACAUCGGUCGCUCGCCUCUCACAUACACCAAAGUAACAUGCGCCUAUUUUAAUCUGAUUAAUGCUUUUGAGAUUUCCUUGUAAUUGACUUGGACGUUGCAGUGGUGCGUUUGUAGGUCUCCGCCACAUAAUUUCUCCAGAGUGUUGUUCGCGCACGGGAGUAUUGCUGCGUUUCGGUUAAUUUUGGCAAAUUUAUUGAAACGUUAAAAAAUGAGCACCGCUCCUCAUCUCCGACCAUUCAAUGCAAUGUGUGUGAACAACGCAGCCGAAAGCAAUACAGCAGAAGUAAAUUAUAGCCUUCCGAUUCCGUUUGGAUUUUACCUACAGAUCAAGACUAGAUGUUCGCUGUCUCAGACAUCUGCAUGUGAAAAGGGCAGAGGACACUGUGGUGACCAAAGAAUGCUCGGUGGUGACAUCCACACCAAAUGCAUGAUGGGAGGAGGAACUAUGCACGAAGAUCCGACAAUGACAAAGCAGGGAAGGUAAGCUUUGGGAUCAGGUUGUUAAUGUAUUUUUUAUCUGCCUGAAAACUAACAUGUGAUAGAUUCUUUUAUAGGUGAAUGGAUCCACGGCUCAGUUGACAACCAGGUGACUGAAACCAACAAUGGUUUGUAUAGUUGUACAUUUUGAAUGUAUUAACAUAAUGUAGAACAGAAUCCAGACUUGAUGGUUUAUAGCGACUGAACUAUAGGAAGCUAAUAACUUAUUUUCUGAAUAAUGCAAUGAAAGAAUGAUGAUUUUUUAUGAUAUUAAUAAUAAUAAUAAUAUGAAUUGAUAAUAAACUGUACAGCAAUCAAGAAUUAAAUAAAUAUGCGUAUAAAUAA